GCUGGACGUGGUGGCACACAUCUGUAAUCCCAGCAACUUGGGAGGCUGAGGCAGGAGGAUCCCAAGUUUGAGGCUAGCCUCAGCAAUUUAGCAAGGCCCUGUCUCAA
rnacentral:sRNA from 1 species